AUGAAAUAAAUAAGCAAUUACGUAAUAUAAUCCCAAAACUUGGUGGUAUCAGUACAAGAGCUGCUAAUAAUACAAGAGUGCAAAGUGAAGUUUAACUGAAUAUACUGAUAUAAAUUAUCUCCAAAUACAAUAUAGAGACUAAUCUAAUACAUAUGAAAAAUAUAGGUAAUACUCUGAAUGUCAGGAGCUCACUCUAAGUCUUCAAACCAUGGAUGCUCUACAUGUGCACAUAUCAACAAUGAUAACCCAUACUAUAAUCUGCAGGCUACAGAAGUGUAGUAUGAGUACAAUAACAAUGGGUACUUAGUAGGCAUCAUCGACUGACUAAUCUAAGUCAUGAUAUAAAGAUAAUAUAAUGCAAGAUAAUCAUAACUAAGUCAAGGUAUAGAAUCAAACUUGAAUCAUCUCCAUCAUCACUCUAUAUAAUAAGUAAUCAAAACGAAAUAGCAGUAUAACAUAAGGAAUCAACAUAUGCCAAUAUCGUGUACAUAAUAAGUAAUAAAUAUCAUAAUAUCAAUUCAAUAUAAGGCAUCAAAGCAUGACCAUAUCGCUAUACAUAAGAAUAGGACAAUUCAGAACAAUAAUGCAUCAUAAAGCAUCAAUGCAAGAAAUCACAAGUACAGAGUUAGCUUCCAUACGCCAACUGGUGCAUAAAGUAAACAACUCAUCAUAGUUUCCUAUGCCACUAGAGAGUAUAACCAAGAGAAACAUAAAGAAAUCAAUUAAACAAUAUAUCUGACUCCAUCAUUGAUCAACCAUCAUUCCACGCUUACCUAUAACUUGUCAAUUUACCAAUAUUCCACAAUUAUCAUCAAUCAAAAGUUUACCAACCUUUAUCAAUUAUCAUCAACAUUCAUAAUUGAACAACAUUAUUAGCUAACCUACGCUUAUUACUAAACAAAUUACUCACUAGUCAUCAUAUAACCCAUAAUUAUUUUCUAUCCCUUAUUAUCACAUAAUCACUAUUCAAGGGUCAAAGACUAACCAUUAUUCACUAACUAGCCAAUAUCAAGCAUAUAGUCAAGAUUCAUCACCAGAUCAUAUUUGAUAAUUAACCAAUAUUCAUUUCACGCUAUCAUAAUCCCACUAGUCACCAUUAAUCAUACGCCCACUAAUCACCACAUAUUCACUAUUUCUCUAUCAACUAACAUCUUUUAUUAAUUAGCAUCAUUAAUCCACAAAUCCUCAUUUAGCAACUAAUCAACAUCAUAAACUUAGUCAUCAAAGCAACUAAUUAUCACCAUCUCUAAGCCCAUUAUCACUAACCACCAUAAUAAGUUAAUCAUCUCUAUUAAUAACCAUCAAUGCCACUAGUCCUUUUUAUCACUAACGUUCACAAAUCCACUAGUCACUAUUAGCCACUUAAGUAAUAUCCACUACUAAGCAUCUUUCAUCCUUAAAUCAACAACUAUACCACUUUAUACCUUAACAUAUUAGAAGUCUAUAAUCGAUACCUCUAAUAUCCAUAUUAUAGCCAACUACACAAGAACAUAAAUAAACAGAUAAUUUCCAUACAUAGGGCUAGCCGAAUUUUAACCGAGUAUCAUCAUAAUAUCAAUAUUUCCUUCGGUUGAACCAGGUAUCAUAAUAUGUUCAACAUAUCCUAUGGCCUUGCUAGGUAUUAUAAUAUCAUCAACAUAUUAUCCGGCCACACUGGUUUACCACAUCAUCAUCGUAUCCUCCGUCCUUGCCAGGUAUCAUCAUAUCAUCAUAAUAGCCUAUAGACUUAUUGGUAUCAUCAUAUUAUCAUAAUAUCCUUCAUCCAUAUCGGGUAUCAUCAUAUCAUCAUAAUAUCCCCUGGCCUUGCCAGGCAUCAUCAUAUCAUCAUACUAUCAUCCAGCCUUACCAGGUAUCAUCAUAAAAUCCAUAUUAAUAUCAAUAAUAAAGAUCAAGCCCCAUAAAUAAUAAAGUAAAUGGCAAGUCCCAUGAGUGAUAAAGUAAGAAACAAGCCCCACGAGGGCUAAAAUAAAGAACAGGCCCCAUGAAGGUUAAAGUAAAUAAACAUAAUAGGAGAAGUAAGAAGAGCAUACCUCCAUAUUUCCCCAUUGAUCAUCAAUGUAAUAUUAUCAAUAAGUGUACAUAUAUGUAAUAUGAAUGUUAUAAGUGAUAAGUAAAUAAUAUAGUCUAUUAGACCAUGAGCAUAACCAUAAGAAUUAUCAUUAGCAAUGGCCCACAAGUAACCUAUUCAUUGGCCCACCAUUAGCGUAAAGAAAGUUUAUCACUAACUUGAGCAAUAUCAAAUCCAUAGAAUAUUCUAUAGCUUAUUCAUAGCAUAGUGGAUAUUGUACUUUAUGGCUUAAGACAUGUUAUAGCCAAGGGCUCAUUAAAUAAGGUAUUCAUUGGCCUAAUCAAUAGCCAAGCAAUAACCUAAUCAAUAGCCCGAGUAAUAGCCGCAUCCAUAUCUUAAUGAAUAACACAAUCAUGGGCUUCUUUAAUAACAUAUACAAUAGCUCAUAUGACAUCAUCAAUAAACAUACUAUCAAGGUUCCUCAAGGGUCAUUUUCUAGGCAUAUUUCAUUUGCUCAUUGGAUUUUGGAUGCAUCCAGAGGUAUUGGCCGAAACUUGAAAUAUUUUCCAAGUUUUAGCUAUCAUAUAGUGCAACUAAGGAUACUGUGAUCAGGGAGUGAGACUUACAAUUCUGCAAUUGUGGACCGUAUAUUCAUGAUCGCAGAGAUUGAGGACUUUGGAAUGGUCUUUAAAGGGCCAUUUUGGAUGAGAAUUGGCCAUCUUCUUCUUCCAUUAAAACCUAAAAAUCUAAUAUUGUGGGAUAACUAUAUUUUUAUCAUGGUUGGUAACUUGGGAGCUUAGUUAUCAUCUUUUAUUGUGAUUAUCUCCAAAUUUAAGGUAAGAAUCCUUUGAAUUCAUUCUUGAAUAUCUUAAUUUGGACCCAAAAUCCCAAUUUAGCUGAAGGCUUAAUUUUAACCCAAAGUAUGCAUAGUUUUUAACCAUUUAUUAAGGGUUAUGAUUUUUUGUUCAUGUGUGAAUAUUGGGUUGGCCUUGAAAAUCUGUUUUCCAUCAGUGGGACUCUCUUGGGGUUUUGGUGUCAUUGUUGGACCCAAAGCACAAUAGUGCAAUAUGAGUAUCAUUAGACUCGUAUUGAUAAGUAGAUUAUGGUUUUGAUACAUUGAUGGAAUUUUGGGAUUGUGAAGUUAAGAUGGAUAUUGGUGAAUGAAGUGAGGUUUUGUGGUUCACUUUUGAGUUAGCGUCCUAUCCAAUUUUCUUCAUAGAUGAUGUGUGAUAUGCAUUGCAUAUGAAUGUGAAUAUUAGGCUUGAUAUAUGAGUAGGCUAGCUUAGUCUUGAUUGUUGAUGUUUGGUGAUUAGAUGAGGGUUUUAGAUUCUUAAGGUGGUAUGCUAAUAACCUUUUAGAAUUUGAUUGCCUUCUUUCUAGUUUAGACUAAUUUGUAGCAUGGACUUGAUGAAAUGCUAUGUUUUGAAUUUGGUUUUAGCAUUUGAAGCAUGAUUAGUAUAUUUAAAUCUUAUUGGUCUAGUGUAGUGAACUUAGAACUAUAAUUUGGGUAGAAUUGACAUAAAUGCCCAUGUUUCUAGAUAAGGUUCCUAUCUUAGAAUUGAUUAUGGAUUACUUAACAUCUAGAAGAUGAACUAGAUUCCUUAGCCUAGUUUAGGGCAUAGUUUGCCUAAAUAUUUGCUUUGAGGAUUGGAGGUGGAAUUGUCCGAACCACUUAGGCCAAGACUUGUAGUAGCCUUAUGGACUUAGUUGUGGAUGUUAGGCAUAGUUGAUAAUAGUAAACUUUAGUAUAAGGUUACUUCAUGACUGAUUGAAUGAUGAUUUAUUUUUUCAUAGAUAAUGAUAUUUGGGGCUAUAGAGACGCUACUUCCUUUUUGAUAUGAUCUUGGCCCUAUAGAGAUGCUAUUUCCUCUUAAACUUGAUAUUUGGAUCAUAGAGAUGAUAUUUCCUCUUAGACAUAACAUUGGGUUCUUAGAGAUGAUUUUUCUCUUAGUUAUGAUUGUUGGGCCUAUAAAGAUGAUAUUCCUUAUAGAUAUUAUAUUGGGUCUAUAGAGAUUCUAUUCCCUCUUAGAUGAGAUAUUGGGUCAAUAGAGAUGCUAUCUCCUUUUAGUUAUGAUUAUUGGUCUUAUAGAGACAAUAUUUCUCUUAGAUACAAUAAUUAUUCGAGAGAGGUGAUAUUCCCCAUAAGUCAUAAUGUAUGACCCAUUAAUAUAGGAUAUCUUAUAAAUGAUUACAUAUUUAUUGAUAUUAUGCCCCUAUGUGAGAGAUGAUUAUGUGUCUAUUGAUAUUAUGCCUCCUAAAUGUGAGAUGCCUCCUAUGUUAGAAAUAAUUACAUACUUAUUAAUAUUAUGCCUCCUAUAUGUGAGAUGCCUUCUAUAUGUGAGAUAAUUAGAGAUAUGUUGUGGCUUAUAAAUAUAAAUAUUGAUAUGAGUUCUGGAUAUGUAUAUGGGCGUGACACCAUGAUUAUGAUGUUGUGAUUAUUCCAGAAAUAUUAUUGGGCCAAGGGCCAUGUUAUGAUAAUGAUUGGAUAUUUGAGAAGUCUUUAUCAUUGUAAAGGAUAUGAUUACAGUUUAUGAAUAUGCAUAUAUGUGCUAAUAUACAUAUCUCUCAGAUAUAGGAUAGAGGAAGAUACAGUAUGUUGCCUACAACUGUAUUAAUUUGUAUAGUGGUGAUGCCAUGCAUAGCUUUGGUACAUUCAUGAUUAUUAUAUCGAUAAUUGAUGUGAUUCUAGCUAAAAUAAGAUCUUAUGAUUGUUCUUCUUAAUUAAGGGUUAACAUAUGUGGUAGCUAGUUGUAUAUUAAGUGACUAUAGCACUUGGUGGCUAGGAAUCUAAUGUACUAGUUAAUGAGUCUUGCUUAGUUGAAAUAUGGUAGUUAGCGAUGGUUGAUACAUAGCUAAUGAUGAUGUUGAGUUUUGCGUAGGUGAUGAUUAGUUGAUAUUGAUAACUGUGUUUAUGGCAUCGAUUAGUUGUUAAACGAGGAGUUGUGUAUUAACGAUGCUAGAUAGUAAGAGAUGUUAGUGAUAAGAGAUGGCUAGUUAAUAAUGAUGAAUAGUUGAUAAAUGAGGAUUAGCUGGUAUACGAUUGUUUGCUAGUGAAUGGUGUUAGUGAAUAAAAGAUGGUUAGAUGAUAAAUGGUAGUGUGUUGACUAAUAAUAAUUAAUGGAUAUAGGAUGAUUAGUUGAUAAUGUUGAUUAUUGGAUAAAUAGCGGUUAGGGUCUAGUAAUGAAUCUUGACAAGAUGUUGGGCAUUGGCUACUUAUUAUAUAUUAUUAGCUGUUAUCCCAUGAAUAAGGAUUAUGUGAAGGAUAAUGUUUAGGAUAAUAAUUAGAGGUCAUGUGAAGACAAGAAAAUUAGUGAUUUAAUGAUCAUAAGUGUUGGUUAGAUAAUAGCGGAUAGUUGGGAAGUAUUAACAAGUUAGAUGUUUUAUGAUGAUACAAUAAUGAUUAUGAGUAUACUAACAGGCAUGUAGAUUUACCCCCAUUUUUCCACGUCUUGAGCCCAUGUAACUAUUAUAUGUCUAUAAAUAUAUGUGUAUUAAUUUUUAAGUUUAUAUUGAUACCUGACAAGGCUGAAGGAAUCUGUAAUGAAUUAUUGAUACACGGCAAGGUAGGAGGAUACUGUUAUGAUAUAUUUAUACACGACAAGGACGAAGAAUAUUAUGAUGGUAUAUUGAUACCCUGCAAGGCCGAAAGAUACUGUGAUGAUAUAUUUAUACCCGUCAAAGCCGUAGGAUACAGUAAUGAUAUAUUGAUACCCGAAAAAGCUAGAGGAUACUGUUAUACUGUAACGCCCCAAAAAUGGGUCCCAAGACGUCACACGAUGCUUAGGACCACAAGUGAUCCCAAGUUAACCCUUGUACUAGCAUACUACAAAGCAACUGAUUUACAUAUGUAUAAAAUGACUAAAGCUACUGUUCGAAAUUAUAAUCAUGAUGGAAUAUAGAAAAAUAUAAAAUACUAAUACAAUUUUACAUUCUGAUGAAACUAAUGAACCGACCUGAAAUUACAUAACUUACUCUGACUGACAUUCGUGAAGCCUCUACUAUACUAACUAUAUAUAUCUGGGACGUGACUCCAACUACCACUAGUCAAUACAUAUGAGUAAGAAAGUAAAUUAGAUAAAUAGCAUCUAACUGAAGUCCCCGAAGUAGGAGGGCUCAUCAUCUGUACAACGGAAUCUGAAACUAUCUGAUCAUGAUAUAUGGACUACAACUGAACUGGCAACUAUAUUAUUAAAUAAUGUAGCACAUAGACGUAUAUGUGGAUCAGUACUUUAGGAAUGUACUGAGCAUAUGGGGGUGAAUGCAUAAGUAAAACAAUAUCUCAAUGUUCGUAUAAACUUAUAAAAUAAUGCAUGCUAAGUAUAAAUGACUCAUAUUGGCUGGAAUUACUAAAAGGUGAAAAUCAUGAAUCAUGAAUGAUAAAACAUACUGUAUAAAUCUUGUGAGUCAUAACACUUAGUUCUAAAAGUUCUACUUUUAGUCUUUCUGCUAGUGGACUAAGUAGAAUUGAAGUUAAGUCUGUUUUCAAAUCAAGCAGGCUAAGUGAUAAAAGACUCACCUUUGUAUCUGUAAACUAAAAGUUCAAAUCUCAUAGCUAAUGACUUAUGUAAAUCAAUAUCUGCAUAAAAUCAUGAGCCUUUACACUUAGUUUCUAAAAUUUUUUCUGUUAUUUUGUUUUAGGACUUAGGAUUUAGGGAGGUUCUUCAAACCGACAUACACUAUGUGAGCUAUCAUAGUGUCCAACAUCCUGAUCCCCUAAAGGGAAAACCUCUAGUUGGGUAGAUGUGUCAUGCUCUUGCCAAGGAGUAUAACUGAGCUAAGUGAUCACAAUCUAUAUCUAUAUCCAUCUAUGAAUGUAAUAUAUUCUGAAUCAGCACCUACUUUGGCUAAUAGUUCUAGGGAAGUAGGAUGCGCUAGGCCCACACUUUUUGCUCGGUGCUAAAUACUACUCCCUUUAAUCUGCAUGUUCAAUCUGUAGGAAAUCCACUUUAAAACUAGUAUGAGGGUUUACUAUGAAAACCAGUUAUGCAUCUAUUUACUUUAAAUUGUAAUCAAAACUGUAAAGUGGAUUCAAUAUCUAAACUGAGGUCAAAAGAUCAAAUCUUUAACGAGAAUCUAAAAAUAAUCUAGUCAUAGGGUUCUUAUAGCACAAUUAAUAUUAAUCAAAAUCACAAUAUGAAUCUUGUAGAUAAAAAUAUGAGCAUGCAAAAUCUUGAUGCACUAAAGCCUUUGAAUCUCAUGCUUUCUUUCAUAUAACUUGCAACAUAAUAUCAUGCUUAAAUCUCAAUUGAAAAUCAUUAAAUCAAGCAUAAAUAUAGGAGAACAAACAUGAACUUUAACACUUAAAUAACUUUAAAAUUCCAUAAACUCAAAACUAGAUAAGUUGGGUAUGAACCCUAAAUUGAAAUUCAUGUAAAUUAAUGUAAAUUCAACUUUAAAGACUAGUUUUGGGCACAAGGAUGAAAGAAGUAUCCUUCUUCAUAACCCCACAUACCUUAUUUGCUAAAUUGAAUGUUAAAUCUUGAACUUUGAAUCUCUAAUGGUGUUAUUGAAGAUUAUUCUUAAAGUUCUUGAACCCAGAAGCUUGGAUUAUUUACUUUCUUAGAGUAAACAUUGUCGGAGUUCUUGAAGGGUCUAGGAUUUGCUUGGAGAGAAAGAGAUGAAUUAUUAUGUAUCUAAUGCUUUUGGGGAUGAAAUUAAGUGUUAUGGAUGGAUUUGGGUGAGGGGAAAUGACCAAAAUACCCCUAGACACCUUAUGAACUGAAAUAGCAUGUGAAAUAGUUCCAUAGCGUGAUUUCCAUCGCGUCGCAUUGCAUCCCAAUCGCGUCGGCUUACUGUCUCACACAAAAAAUGCCAUAACUUUUCACUCAGGUAUCGGAUUAAGGUGAAAUUGGUAUCAUUUGAAAGCUAAUUCAAUUAUCUACAAUUUGGAGAGUCUUGAGAUGCCAAAUUUUAUGUAUAUAAAAAGUUAUACACGUUCAAAAUAGACCCUUGUAGAAUUGAAUACCAAACUUUUGAUUAAUCAAAGGCUCUAAGAUCAACUUUGUUCUAAGUGAUUCUUAUGAAUAUUUUUUACCUCGAAAGCAAAUAAAACAUGAGGAUAAAAAUCAUGAAACUUACAUUUACAUGGGAAUCAUUUGGAUUUUAACUUAUACACGUCGGAACUAUGGUUCAGACUAGCCCGAAAAUCUGGGGUAUUACAUUAUCUCCUCAUUGGGAACAUUUGUCCUUGAUUGAGGCCGAUUUGACCGAGGGUACUAAGGAAACUGUGAUUAUAUUCUGAGCAUGCAUGACUAAAAACAUGAUUGCAUAAUAAUGCUGAAAUAUGAUACAUAAACUACAUAUCAUGCAAUGAACUGAUUUCUUGACUACAUGCAAUGACAUGAGAAUUGUUAUAAGGCUGUGAUAGGAAAGAGAGAGUUGACUUGUGAGUAACCAUUACCUUAGGUCGGAUCUAGUUCAUGAAGAAAAGAUAAAAGGUUUAGGACAUGAAUGCUCAAGGUAUUACAAUACAUCACCCCUUGGGAUAUUUCGUCUCCUAAAUGAUAAUGACUUAGCUGAAAUACUAAGGAAAGAUAGAGAUGAUGCAUGGGACACUUACAGACUGAAUCAUGACUGAAUAUCUGGAAUUUGAAACUAAUGCACGAUGCAUGAACUAAGAUGAAUUCACAAAUUACAUAGAUGUUAUAAAACUACCUGUUGAAAUGGCCAUAUUCAUGGAACUUCAGAUAGUACGACUAGAUGGAAAGUUCGAAAUCUAUAGGAGCUUAUCUGAUUGAUUGUUCAACGGGAUUGCAGGCUAUAUGGACUUGAUCAUACUGACUGUCCAUACUCAAAUGGACUAUUUCUUCAAAACUCUUAUAUGAAAUUCUAAUAAUAUAAAGGAGUGAAGAAUCUUGGGCAUGAUCUGAACAAGACAUUUGAUUAAGGAAUCACAACAUUGAUACAACUCUAUAGCUUGGAACAUAGGCACAUAAAUCAUAACCUUGGAUAGAAUUACUAGGCCUUAGGCAAUAGAACUUCUUACUUUCAAGCUUAGCAAUACUUCUCAAAUACUUCCUUAACCAUACUAUUUCCCUUAAAUACCAUAUUCAUUGAUUCAACUUCUAAUUCUUACAUGGUCAUUCAUAAAUCCAUCUACUAAUGUCUAAACUGAACUAAGUCCUCUCACCAUGAUCAAGCCUAGCUCAAAAUCACAAGAUUCAAUAUAUAACACCAUAACUGAACUGAACUACCGAUGAGAAAAGUGAUGUUCUGCGUCACUCAACUAACGUAAUAUAUGAUGCAUCAUGUUGCUCCCUCCCAAUGUGAUAUGUGAUGCACCACAACCAUAUCACGUUGCGUCACUAUUUUGACUAUCCAAAUAGGUCUCAAACCUCACCCAAAAAAUAUGAAACUUACACGAAAUGUUCUAUUGACAACUCUGAUCAUGAAUUCACUUAAAGAUUUAUAUUCCAAAGUCAAGAAGGUCAGAAACUAAUGUGCACUACAUUCAUCCAUGUAUACACCAAUAUGAGAUUCAAGCCUAUUGUUAUAACCACAUAUGAACAUCUAAAAAAACACCCAUAAUAGCAUACUUCUCAUAUUCGCUAAACCUCUAUUACAAUAAAUUCCACACACUACCCCAAGAACAUACACCCAAAAAUUUCAACUAACCACAACAAGGAUCAAAGACUUGGCCUCAAUCUUACUUCACACUUAUGGCCUUAGCUAAAACAAGCAUACAAUUAUCUUUCACCAAUAAGAAACAUUUACUCAUCACCACUAUCAUUACAUAAAGUGGGUUCACUGAAAGGUUAGAACAUGAGACCUUGAAUCAUGGAACGAGACUGUACAUAACUUGACACUUAACUGAGGUCUGAGAAAUAGAGGAUCAACAUCAUAGAUUCACCAAUGAAAUUUGAAUUAAGGGCAUACAUGGCUAUAAGAUAAAUCUCACUGAUCAUUAGGAGUGUAUCAUGAGUUAUUGGAACUGAUCAUACUAUAAAGCAUGAGUACAGGAGUCAUGUGCUAUAUGACCUGAGUUUGGAGUUCAUAAAUUCCUGGAACAUGAUUCGUACUACCGAAUGAACUGGAACUCCUUAUACUAAGGACUAGGUGAAUACAUGAUUUUCUAUAAUAUGCAUAAACAAAACUAUGAUUAUCGAGCUGACAUGUAAGGAAUGAGUACAUAUCAUGAUUACUGAAAUACUAAUACCGAAAUAAGAAUGAGCUGGACAUCUUCCUCCCACACUGGCAGCACUACUAGAAUCUAAGAAUCUGACUUGGUUACUUAUCUUUAUCUCCCCCUCAGAUUUAAGCCAUCAUUCUAAGUCUGUGGAACCCUCUUUACUAAAAUCUAACUGAACCUCAACAACUUUACUCUAGUUCCUGGGGUAUAACAAUACACGUAAAUAAUAGAAGUUAACUCGAAAGACUACACCUGAAAGUGUUAAACCUAUUACUAAUACUUCCUUAUAAGAUAUAACUCUAUCUUUAUAUAGCCCUAAUAAUAAUCAUAUAAAACUUGAACACUUGAUAAUUUCAAAUCUUCAUGACUAUCCAUAUAGCUGGAGUGCACGCCAUCUAGUGCUUCAACUCUUAUUUCCAUUUGCUCAAUCUUCAAAGACUCAAAUUUAGAUUCUAACACUUGAUAUGGAUAUCACUAAAACAUUAUUGAACCAUACUACUUUCAUCAUAGCCUACCAAUAUCAUGCCUCUAAACUUAUAUUUCUCAACCAUGAGAAUCAAGAUCAUAUCAAAAGGCUCAACAUCAUCAAUCAUAACACCUUAACUUAGAUAUUAAGAACGCCAUGUACUAUAUAACUAAACUUCUUCCACUUAUAAACUCAAGGGUACUACUAACCACACACNNNNNNNNNNNNNNNNNNNNNNNNNNNNNNNNNNNNNNNNNNNNNNNNNNNNNNNNNNNNNNNNNNNNNNNNNNNNNNNNNNNNNNNNNNNNNNNNNNNNNNNNNNNNNNNNNNNNNNNNNNNNNNNNNNNNNNNNNNNNNNNNNNNNNNNNNNNNNNNNNNNNNNNNNNNNNNNNNNNNNNNNNNNNNNNNNNNNNNNNNNNNNNNNNNNNNNNNNNNNNNNNNNNNNNNNNNNNNNNNNNNNNNNNNNNNNNNNNNNNNNNNNNNNNNNNNNNNNNNNNNNNNNNNNNNNNNNNNNNNNNNNNNNNNNNNNNNNNNNNNNNNNNNNNNNNNNNNUAGGGCUAGGCAUGAUUAACAACCCAACCUCACAUACUAUUCUCACUUGGAAGCUAUAAAACAAGAUAUCAAGAAACACUAGUCUACUAGAAAUCUAUAAUAAUAAUAAUUGAUCACGAGCGUAUGGCCUAUCUUAUUAUAAUCCGUUAGCACAUCAUCCCUCUAUACAUCACUACUAUUCACCCAUCUAUACACCUAAAUUUCCUUCAUAGCUCUAUAAGUUUCAACUAAACUCCUUUUUGCAACCUUAAGGAAAACCUAAAUUAACAAUACUAAACCACCAAAUACUUUAUUAAUAAUCUGUACUUUUCUAACACAAUAAUCACCAUCAAUAACUCCUUUCAUACUUCAAACAAACAAUAAUUCACCUUAACUAAUAACUCCUUAUCUACCUUCCACUAAACUAACACCAGGACAUAUUACCAUAACGUAAAAUAUAUAGCAUGCAUAAGUUUAUCUCUAUACUUUCUAUCAAUUGUCAUUCUCACUUUUCUUGUCACUACACUUCUAUACCUAUACUUCCAACUAUAAGAAGGUUCCACUACUUAUGAAUCAUAACACUCCAGGUUGCAAUAUCUCUCAAAUGCAAACUCUAUUCAAUAAUCUAGGCUCAUACUAUCUUCUCUUAUGAGCAUUAUCUGUAUUGAAUGAAUAAUGAAAAAUCUGAAUGCAUAUCUUAUUCUGUCUUAACUAAACAACUCAUAUAGAUGAGGACAUAAAUUUUAAUUUGAGGAAAUUAUAACACACUAGUGUGCUCCUCUCAAGCCCCUUGUAUGACUUCUAAAGUUACUGAUUGUAAAUCUGAGAGCAUCAUCUUAGAAUGAAUUAGAACUUACUAAUCAUAUAAUCUGACGAAUAUAACAUAGAUGGAGGAUUAUGGAGUGACACAUGAAUAAAUAGAAAUUUCUGAGAGACGAACAUUGCAGCACGAUCUAGCGUACGAAAGAAAGAAAACUUUUCUUAAAUACCCUAUAGACUCUAAAAAAAAAGUACAGACAUCUCCGUACCAUUCCACAAGACUCUACUAGACACGACUUCACAAACACCCAAGGACACUUAAACCUUGUUCUCUAAUACCAAGUUUGUAAUGCCCCAAAAAUGGUUCCCGAGAUGUCACACGGUGCUUUGGACAAUAAGUUAUCCCAAUCUAACCCUUGCACUGGCAUACUGCUAAGUAACUGAUUUACAUAUGUAUAAAAUGACUGAACUUACUGUGUGGAAAUAUAAUUAUGAUGGAAUCUAGAAAAAUACUACACAGAUACAAUUUUAUAUUCUGAUAAAACUAAUAAACAGAACUAAAAUUACAUAACUAACUCUGACUGACAUUUGUGAAGCCUCUACUAUACUAACUAUAGAUAGCUGGAUGUUACUCCAACUACCACUAAUCAAUACAUAUGAGUAAGAAAUUAAAGUACGUAAAUAACAUCUAACUAAAGUGCCUGAAGUAGGAGGACUCAUCAUUUAUUGGUUGGAAUCUGCAACUAUUUGAUCAUGAUAUAUGGACUACAACUGAACUGGUACCUACAUUAUUAAACAAUGUAGAACAUAGAUGUAUAUGUAGAACAAUACUUUUGGAAUGUACUAAGCAUAUGGAGAUAAAUGUAUAAGUAAAACAAUAUCUCAAUGUUCAUAUGAACAUGUAAAAUAAUGCCUGCUAAGUAUAAAUGACUCACACUGCCUGGAAUAGUUGAAAGCUAAAAAACAUGAAUCAUGAAUGAUAAAAUAUACUGCAUAAAUUUUGUGAGUCAAAAGACUUAGUUCUAAAAGUUUUACUUUUACUCUUUCUUCUAGUAAACUAAGUAGAGUUGAAGUUAAGUCUGUUUUCAAAUCAUGUAGGCUAAGCGAAAAAGGACUCACUUUAGUAUUUGUAAGCUAAAAGUUAAAUCUCAUAGCUAAUGACUUAUGUAAAACAAUAUCUUUAUAAAAUCGUAAGCCUUUACACUUAGUUUCUAAAAGUUGUUCUUUUAUUUUAUUUUAGGACUUUAGGGAAGUUCUUCUAACUGACAUACAUUAUGUGAGCUAUUAUAGUGUCCAAUAUCCAGUUCCCUUUAGUGGAAAACCUCAUAUUGGAGAGAGGUGACAUACUCUUGCCAAGGAGUAUAACUUUAGCUAAGUGAUCACAAUCUGUAUCUGUAUCCAUAUAUAAAUAGAAUAUAAUCUGAAUCUGUACCUACGUUGGCUCGUAGUUCUGGGGAAGUAGGAUAUGCUAAACUUACACUUCUCGCUUGGUGCUAAAUACUACUCCCUUUAAUCCAUAUGCUCAAUCUAUAUAAAAUCUAAUUUAAAACUAGCAUGAGGGUUUACUAUAAAAACUAGUUAUACAUCUGUUUACUUUAAACUAUAAUCAAAACUAUAAAGUGGAUUCCAUAUCUAAACCGAGGAUUACAAGAUCAAAUCUUGUUCAAAAUAUGAGCAUAAACUAAUCAUAGGAUGCCUAAAAGCAUAAUCUUCUUGAAAUAUCAAUAUUCAAAAUAAGGCUUAAUAACCCAUGCUUUAAAUUCAUGUCAAAUCAAAAUAAUACUUCAUGCUCAAUAUUCUUCUUGAAAUACUUCAAUAAUUUCUAUCAAGAUAAUGAAAUCAAAAUAACAAUAUGAAUCUUAUGGAUCAAAACAAGAGCAUGCAAAAUCUUGAUGCACUAAAGCCUUUGAAUCUCAUGCUUUCUUUCAUAUAACUUGCAACAUAAUAUCACGCUUAAAUCUCAAUCAAAAAUCUUUAAAUCAAGCAUAAAUAGAGGAGAACAAGAAUGUACUUUAACAUUUAAAUCAUUUUCAAAUCAUGUAGGCUAAGCGAAAAAGGACUCACUUUUGUAUUUGUAAGCUAAAAGUUAAAUCUCAUAGCUAAUGACUUAUGUAAAACAAUAUCUUUAUAAAAUCGUAAGCCUUUACACUUAGUUUCUAAAAGUUGUUCUUUUAUUUUAUUUUAGGACUUUAGGGAAGUUCUUCUAACUGACAUACAUUAUGUGAGCUAUUAUAGUGUCCAAUAUCCAGUUCCCUUUAGUGGAAAACCUCAUAUUGGAGAGAGGUGACAUACUCUUGCCAAGGAGUAUAACUUUAGCUAAGUGAUCACAAUCUGUAUCUGUAUCCAUAUAUAAAUAGAAUAUAAUCUGAAUCUGUACCUACGUUGGCUCGUAGUUCUGGGGAAGUAGGAUAUGCUAAACUUACACUUCUCGCUUGGUGCUAAAUACUACUCCCUUUAAUCCAUAUGCUCAAUCUAUAUAAAAUCUAAUUUAAAACUAGCAUGAGGGUUUACUAUAAAAACUAGUUAUACAUCUGUUUACUUUAAACUAUAAUCAAAACUAUAAAGUGGAUUCCAUAUCUAAACCGAGGAUUAAAAGAUCAAAUCUUGUUCAAAAUAUGAGCAUAAACUAAUCAUAGGAUGCCUAAAAGCAUAAUCUUCUUGAAAUAUCAAUAUUCAAAAUAAGGCUUAAUAACCCAUGCUUUAAAUUCAUGUCAAAUCAAAAUAAUACUUCAUGCUCAAUAUUCUUCUUGAAAUACUUCAAUAAUUUCUAUCAAGAUAAUGAAAUCAAAAUAACAAUAUGAAUCUUAUGGAUCAAAACAAGAGCAUGCAAAAUCUUGAUGCACUAAAGCCUUUGAAUCUCAUGCUUUCUUUCAUAUAACUUGCAACAUAAUAUCACGCUUAAAUCUCAAUCAAAAAUCUUUAAAUCAAGCAUAAAUAGAGGAGAACAAGAAUGUACUUUAACAUUUAAAUCACUUUACAAUUGCAUAAACUCAAAACAAGAUAAGUAGGGUAUGAACCCUAAUUUGAAAUUCAUGUAAAUUCAACUUUAAAACUUAUUUUGGGCACAAGUAUGAAAGAAGUAUCCAUGUUCAUAACUCCACAUACCUUAUUUGAUAAAUUGAAUGUGAAAUCUUGAAGUUUGAAUCUCUAAUGGUGUUCUUGAAGCUUAUUCUUGAAGUUCUUGAACCCAAAAGCUUGGAUUAUUAACUUUAUUGAAGAAAAUUUGGUGGAUUUCUUGGUGUUCUUGAACGUGAUAGGGUUUUCUUGGAGAUAAAGAGAUGAAUUAUGCUGUAUCUAAUGCUUUUAGGACUGACAUUAAGUGUUAUGGAUGGAUUUGGGUGAGGGGAAGUGACCAAAGUACCCCUAGACCCUUUAAGAACUGAAAUAGUGUGUGAAAAAGUUCCGUAACUCAAUUGACAAUGCGUCGCAUCGCUAAUCAUGUUGUUGAUGCAUGCAUCCCAAUUGCUUUGGCUUACUACCUCACACAAAAAAUGCCAUAACUUUUUGCUCGGGUAUCGGAUUAAGGCAAAAUUAAUAUCGUUGGAAAGAUAAUUCAACUAUCUAUAAUUUUUUUGGCCUUAAAUUGCAAAAUUGUACAUAUAUAAAAAGUUAUACACAUUCAAAUUAGACCCUUGUAGAAUCAAAUACCAAACUUUGGACGAAUCAAAGGCUCUGAGCUCAACUUUGUUCUAAGUGAUUCUUAUGAACAUUUUUCACCUCAAAAGCACAUAAAAAGGGAUAAAGAUUAUGAAACUUAUAUUCACUAGGGAAUCAUUUGGAUUUUAUCUUGUACACAUUGGAAGGAUAGAUUAAAGACUAGCCCAAAAAUACAGGGUAUUUUAUAUGAUAUAUUGAUACCCGAUAAGGACAAAGGUUUGUUAUGCUGAUGAUGACAGUUAUGAUAUAUAUGGGUAUACUGAUGAGAUUAUGAUAUUGAUUAUGUACCUUGCAUUUAUUUUAGCUUGCACAUUGCCUAUCACCAGUAUGCACCUAUGUCUAUCAUCUGGUAUGGGAUAAUUGCAUUGAUACCGGUGAGUAAUAUGCCUUGUAUUAUUGUAUGUUGAUUGAACCUUCUAAGCUUGGGGCGGUGGAAGAACUUAUAGGCUUGUCUAGGUAUUUGGUUGUCUGAAGUAUCCGAUUAUUCAUGCUAUUAUUAAUAUUGUUAUUAUUAUUAUUAUGAUCAUUAUUGUGUCUAGCUUAUCAUAGAUUGGUCAUUAAUAUGGUAUUGUGAUUUAAGUUAUGUAUACGGCCUCUUCUAUCUUAUGAUUGCAUUAUGAUGCAGGAUUAUGUCAUGUCUAGCCAUUUGGAUUAGAAAUUAUGAGUACAAUAAUAUUAGAUACUGAUAGUAUUAUGAUAAGGUCUUAGAAUAAGGAUAUGAGGAUCUAGGCUAUGCCUUGAGAUUACCUCUUAUCUAUAUGUAUAUGUAUAUAUAUAUAUAAAGCUAUGGGACUAUAAUAUAUCCCUUCCAUCAUUUGUUCAGGUUGCAUAUUCAUUCUUGACCUUGUAUAUUGCUAUAUAUCUUUCUUGCUCUCUUUAUUUGUAUAUUGACUUGCGACACAUAGUAUAGUAGUGGCGUCUCUUAUGUAUUAGAUCGGUCUCUAUAUUGUAUUUAGAGGUAAGGUUAUCAGAGUAUUUCUCUUGAUAUUUCACUUUUGUACUCUUAUUAUGUUAUAAGUUGUUGUACUAAUUCCAAUAAGUUUUGGAAUUUAUUAUGUAGUGAUCUUUAUUUUAUUUAUUUCACAUUCUUUUUCUUAUAUUAUUGAGGAGUCCGUUACUAGUCAUUCCGGACCAUGUAUUGGUUUUCUAAUGAUGGAUAUUGGUAGGCGUCAUCAUGACCUGAGAAAUUGGGCCGUGAAAAAUUGGUAUCAGAGCCUAGGUUUUUGUGUUAGUACAAGAGAUAAAUGUUAGUAGAGUCCUACGAAUAGGUGCAGAGACAUCCAUAACCUAUCUUUGAGAGGCUAUAGUGACAUUUUAUAAAAUUUACUUCUUGACUCUUUAUCAUGUGUUCAUAUUCCUAUGAACCUUAAACACAUUAUUUUACUCUAUUCUAUCCUAUAAUAAUGAUGGAAAAUUGUUAAUAGAUACAGAUGAGACUUCAGCACACGUUUCUAAAGUUGUAAUCUAGCAUCGAACUAGAGAGUCAGGGAUGGAUUUCAAAGAUCUUCAAUGGCAGCCAAAAAGAAUUUGGGCAUAUUAGGCUUUAGCAAAGCUUAUGACUCCUUCAACCUUAGAGAUUCAACAUUAGGAAUUUAAGUUAUGUUGUAGAUCUCUCUCAUUCAUAGAAGAUGUUUGAUUCAUCGAGCAGUCUUAGACCAUAGUUGGGUCUAUUGGUGUUCAUUACGGUUCUUUACUAGUUUUGAGUUUGAGAUUGGAUUUCUCAUGUGGUCAUGGCAUUUUCCUAUGCUACAUCCUUCUAAGUCAAAUAUUGGUGCAUGGAUAUAUUAGAGAUUUAGUAUUCUCACCCCAUUUGGUGUCGAUGCACUGGAUAGAAGCUAUAUCAUCCUUUCAUUAGGAUAUUAAUUAUGAGAGUACCAUAGAGAGCAAAAGUAUAGAGACUUAUAGAAAUAGCGGCAAUAGGUAUGCUAUUAGUAUAGUGUUAUUGGUAUUUUAUUCAAAAGUGAGGAUUCAUUCGGUAGAGUUCAGCUUCACCUGUAGCCCAUCAACUUUACUCAGACAAUAUUCCAUACUAUAAGUAGUUAUCAAAUAAAUCGUAGUAAACAUAAUGGGUGGAGUCCCCAUCAGACUUGUGGAGUCAAGUAUGGUUCUUUGAGACAUAUAGACCAUUAUGGAUUAUGAGGGGCAGUAUCUCAAAGUAUUUUAGGAUCUUUGUUGGGUUGUCUCAUGAUAAAAUACUUCUUUAAAGAAUACCCAGGUAUGAGAUAGAUGAUCAGCUAGAGUUAGUAUGUAUUCUCUUCUAGCAUAAAGUUCCUGAGAUGGGCUGUGAUUUUAGAAGUAUAGAUAUAAUUUUUUGGAUUUCUCUCAGUGUCAGCUGGCCAGCCAUUUAGGAUCAAUUUGUUACUCGCCAUGUUGGUACAUCAGAAGUUUACUUCAAAUGCAGAGAGACCGACUACUAGUCUAGAGAGUAUCUCUGACAUGGUAUUUCUAGUCAUUCAACUCAUUUAGAUCAACUCGUGAUGUUGUGGCAUCUUUAGUUAGAGAUAGUAUGUGUGGUACCCUAAUUGAUGAUUCAGUUGGUCGAAACUGAGUUGGACCCAUUCAGAUUUAUUUUUCCCUAUGCCUGUCAAGCAUAUGAGUGCGGAUGCCACCAUGAUUAGUUUGCUUUUAUUUCCUACAUUUAUCUCUUAUUAUGUGUAUUGGGGUUAUCAUACCUAUUAUUGAUUAGAUACCUUGAUGAAUUGAUAACGGUUAUUAUGUGCCUUAUUAUUGAAUUCAUGAUUAUGUUACUACUCCAUGGUUUAUUUCUUUUACUAGUGAAUGGAGUGGAUCUGUAUUGGUAUUUUCCUUUAUAGGUGUGGUUUUUGGGUUCAAGUCCCAUUUAUUUAGGAAUAUUAUCCUUAUUGUAGCCAUUGAGUGGUACCUAAUAUUGAUAUUUAUUUUGGUACCGCCUGUUCAAUAUAUUGAUUUUGAUAUUGUUAUUGCUAUUGCUACCACUAUAUGUGGUUAUUGAUAUUGCUUGAUAUUAUUACUUGAUGUUAUUACCUAUUGAAUUUGAUCCUCAUUGGGUAGUUGUAUUGACUAGUGAUAUGUAGUUAGACUUUUAUUUUCUUGUGAUAUUAUUCGGUGGCUUGAGUAUAUAUAGCCCAAUUUGAUGAUUUCUUUCCCCUAGAUCAGUGAGGUUGACUGUGUUCCCUCUUGGUUAGUUGUAUUAGAUUGAUUUGGGGAUGUAUUGUGAUAUCAAAGAAAAGUUGUCCUUCUGUGGUGGACAUAUGAUUCUAAGGUCGAACAUAUGGUUGUAUCGCCUGUUCUUGAUUUUGAGACUCUUAAACUUGCCUCCUGUGUUGUGAAGGUUUUUGCUUUGGCUAUCCCUUCCUAUAUAUCCCAUUUGUAAGAUUGACCAAUUCAAAGUUCGUUCUUUGUUUGCGAUUAUUUUAUCGCCCGAUAGUGGUUUUAAGAUUGAGAUAUCAUGGAUUUAUUUCUUUAAUUUGUUGGGUUUGUUCCCUUAUGAUUUCUUACCCUUGUUAUUAUUGUGGAGACUAGAUGCUUCUUUCUAGAUUUGACAUGGUUUUUUCUAGUAGAGUUGGAAUGCUAGAGGUAGGUGGUCUUUCUUGUGAUUGCUUCUUAAGUUGGCAAAUUAAAAAUUCUUUAUCCUGAGUUGUUUGAUUCUAUGGUAGUGGUCUCGACAUUUUCCUUGGUUAUGAGAUUGGUAUUCUUCUUUGAUGAUGUGAUUCUUAGGUGGAUUCAGGAAAUCCCCAUUUCAGUAUUUGUUUUGCCUAGUGAGGCUUGGUUGAGUGAAUCUGCUUGAUGAUAUGUGCCUGUGGCUAUUCUUUGCUGAACUAUUUUUUGCUGAAAUAAAGUGUUAGAUUGAUUAGUUUUCUAGUAAAGUUUUAUUUCUCUGAUUUGCUAGAGUUUUUGUCAAUACUGGUGUGGUUUUCAGCCUUGGGAUGUUUUUGAGUAUGUUUGAAUAGUUUAUGCCCUCCAGUGAAUAUGGAGUGGGUUUUAUGCAUUUUCAGCUAGUGAUUUGUCCUUUGGUGUGAUUCCUUUUUUGUGGCUAUAUUUCAUACCCUCCAACUAAUAUAGAGUUGGUUGCUUGAAUUUCAGUCGAUGAUUCUCCCUAUGGUGGUUUUUUUUCUUUAGAUAUGUCUCGACUAUGGCUUGGUAUGAUUUAUCUCAGAUAUGUCAGAUUUAGAUACUAAAGUCAAUUUGAAUGGUUGGUAAUGAUUAGGCUUAUUGGUUCAGUUUAGACUUAACGCCUUGGAAUGAUAGUUUUGAAAUAUGAUGAAUUUGGAGCAUUAAUGCCUAUCCAUUUUUAGGUUUGGUUUAGAUAUUUAAGACCGAGUGAUUUAGCCUUGGUAUUGAGAUUUUAGUUUGGUGUUGUAGAGGUUGUAUGCAGCUUUUGUUUUAGACUUGUCUUCUCUCAGGUUUCAUUAUUAGACUAGUUGAGCCUACUUAGAGGAUUGCCUAUUCGGUCUCCACGACUUCAGUUGGAAUAUGGUUGAUAAGUAUUCAAAUGAUAGCCCAUGGAUGUUGUAUUAGUUAUUUCAAUUUUGACCUUCAGUUUUGACCUUAAGUCUCUAUUUUUCUUUUGGAAUUUUGGAUGACUUACUCAAUAGGAGUAAUAUACUUGAUUUGGAUUCAGUAUGACUUCAUUCUGGGUGGAUAAGUUAUCCUGGAGUGGAAUAUUCAGUGAUGAGUAGUUAUACCUUAGAUUUUGAGAUUUCAGUUUGAUUUUCAUCCGGACUAGUUGCAGCACUGGCAUAGAUUUCAUUCCUUUAUUAUUCCCAUUUGUGUGCCCAGACAACAGCUUAUGAGUUUAUUCUCAUGUUUUCCAUAUGGGCUUUCAGCAGGUCAGCUUCAAUUCUUUUAGGGUCCGUGUUGAGACUGGGAGGGCAUGACUCAGGUGAUUUUCCUCCUAAAUUGGGGUGGCUAAUUGGUGUAAAAUGGUAAAAGGAGUGUAUAUUUGGAUUUGGAUUUACUGGCAUGACUUCUAACUUGGGUUGUCAUUGGUUUGGAUGAGCUAUUAUUGAUUUAUGUGGAUAUAGAGAUGGUAUCAAUGUGUUAAGAUUCAAAUGUACGUGAAUCAGCCUUCUUGGUUUAGUUUGUGGCCAGGUAGCGGUUAAGUUGAGUUUUGGCUGAUUACAAGUAGAGCGAGAGUGCUGGUUGAAAAGGGGAUAUAUGUGGUGAAAUCCCUUGCAAGUGUUCUCUUUUCGUUGAGGUUACUUGGGAAGCCAUAUUGGGAGCAUGCCGGCCCAGUAGCUCAUCCUUCCGAGCUUUUGAGUUUCUUUCUAUCCAUUGACAUAUUGGAUAAUGUAAUAACCCUUCAGGUCAUUUUCUAUAUUUAUUCUUAUAUCCAUCGUUUGAGCUUUCCAUUAGCUCCCUAAGUCAUUUAUGACUUACUGGAAUCGACGGUUUGGUUACUGGGCAAUCUAUUUGAUUUUUAGAGCCAAUUCCUUAUUUUGAAUUCUUCCUUGGUUCCCAAUGGCCAUCGAGAAAAAACUUCAAUAAAAUAAUUUUGAAUGCAAAUUUUAACUGUGCCAACAGCUCCGAAACAUCAAUUUUAGGCUAGGUAGAACUUUGGUUUGGGUAUCAAUGCAUCCGAGCUCAUUUCUACCUUUUUGUCGUAAAGUUGGAAAAAUUAGAAUAUGGGUGUGCGACUCAUAUUUGGUUGAAACGACCUUGGAUUGAAAAUCCGAAUCUGCCAAUGCAUUUAGAACAUUGAAUUUAGUAUGGUUAUAUAUUUUAUGUGCUCAUUUUUGAUUUUGGAUGCAUCCCGAGGCAUUGGAUGAAACUUGCAAUAUUUUUAAUGUUUCAGCUAUUAUUUGGUGCAACAUAGGAUACCAUGAUUACGAAGGGAAACUGGAGACGCAAUGUCGCGUUCGUGGAUUGUGUGUUCAUGAUUGCAAGGAUCGAAGACCUGGGAAGGGUCUUUAAAUAGCCAUUUUGGAUGAGAAUUGGCCAUCUUCUUAUUCCAUUAAGACCUAGAAACCCUAAUAUGGUGUGCUAACCACAAACUUAUCAUGGUGGGUAAUUUGGGAGCUUGUUUAUCAUCUUUUAUCGCAAUUAUCUCCAAAUUUAAGGUAAUAAUCCUUUGAAUUCAUGCCUGAAUUUCUUAGUUUGGACCUUAAACCAUAACUUAGCUCAAGGCUUUUGUUUAGCCCAAAGUAUGCUUAGUUUUCACGAUUUGUUGAGGUUUAUGAUUCUUUAUUCACGUGUGAACAUUGGGUUGGUCUUAGAAAUGCAUUUUUUGUAAGUGGAACUUACUUUAGGUUUUGGUGUCAUUUUUGGACUCGAAGCACAAUAGUGCAAUAUGGAUAUCGUUAGACUUGUAUUGAUGAGAAGAUUAUAGUUUUGAUAGUGUGAUGGCAUUUUGGGAUUGUGAAGUGAAGAUGGAUGUUAGUGAAUGUAGUGAGGUUUUACGGUUCGCCUUUGAGGUAGGUUCCUAUCAACUUUUCUUCGUAGAUGUUGUGUGAUAUGUAUUGCGUGUGAAUGUGAAUGUUAGGCUUGAUAUAUGAGUAGGAUAAUUUAGACUUGAUUGUUGAUGUUUGGUGAUUAGAUGAGGGUUUUGGACCCGUAAGGCGGUAUGUUUAAAACCUUUUAGAACCCAAUUGCCUUCUCCCUAGUUUAGACUAAUUUGUAGUAUGGAAUUGAUGAAAUGCUAUGUUUGGGAUAUGGUUUUUGCAUUUGAAGCAUUAUUAGUAUACAUAUAUCUUAUUGGGCUAGUGUGGUGACCUUAGAAUCGUAAUUUGGAUAGAAUUGAUAUAAAUGCCCAUGUUUCUAGAAAAAGCUCCUAUCUUAGAAUUGAUUAUGGCUUACUUAACAUCUAGAAGUUCAACUAGACACCUUAGCUUAGUUUGGGGCAUGGUUUGCCAAAAUAUGGGCUUUAAGGAUUAGAAGUGGGAUUGUCAAACCCACUUAGGCCAAGACUUGUGUUAGCCUUGUGGAGUUAGUUUUGGAUGUUAGGCAUAGUUGAGACUAGUAAACCUUAGUAUAAGGUGACUUCGUGGCUUCUUGAAUGAUGAUGUAUUUUCCUCGGAUAAUGAUAUUUGAGCCUAUAGAGAUGCUACUUCCUUUUUGAUAUGAUAUUGGACCUAUAGAGAUGCUACUUCCUUGUAGACUUGAUAUUUGGCUCAUAGAGAUAAUAUUUCCUCUUAGACAAACAUUGGAUCCUUAGAGAUGAGUUUUCUUUUUGUUAUGAUUAUUGGGCCUAUAGAGAAGAUAUUCCUCUUAGAUACGAUGUUGACCCUAUAGAGAUGUUAUUCCCUAUUAGAUGUGAUGCCGGGCUUGUAGAGAUGCUAUCUCCUUUUAGUUAUGAUUAUUGGACUUGUAUAGAUGAUAUUCCUCUUAGAUAUUACAAAUGGCUGAGAGAGGUGAUAUUCUUAUAAGUCAUGAUAUAUGACCCAUUGAUAUGAGAUAUCUUAUAGAUGAUUACAUGUUUAUUGAUAUUAUGCCCCGAUGUGAGAGAUGAUUAAAUGCCUAUUGAUAUUAUGUGUUGAAAUCGUGUGGGUUUACUCCACACAGUGAAGGACCAGGUCCUUUAGAAUCAAUCACAGAAAAUCAAACAAUAGAGUAGAAGAAAACUAAAGACAGUAUAGAUAGAGUAAAACACACAAGGAUUUUUAUGUGUAAACCCAAUAUGGGAAAAACCAAGACUUUCCCUCAUAUGCACCAACAAAAUCCACUAUAAUCAACCUCCUGAUUACAUUCUAGAUUUCAGCCUAACUCUAGGCUCCUUGUGCUAGCAGCAACUCUACUACCAGCUCCUCUUGGUAACUCUACCAAGGACUCUCCCUACACUAAUUAGCUCUAAUCAAUCUCAAGCUUAGGAAACUAUAACUAAGCAACACUCUCAACAAGAAACAUUACUAUUAUAACAAGAGUAGUCAUUUAACAAUCAACACUAAAAAAUAUUCAAUCACUUUUUAAGUAAAGUACGCAGUUAAGAACAUGAGCAACGCUUGAGCAGUUUUGAAAUAGAGUUUUUGUUACCUCUCUACACUCUUUACGAUUGCAAAAAACUGAUUGUUGAAGUGGCAUAUCUUUCCUUUUAUAGUUGGGUGAUGAUUAGGGCUUGAAAGAUCAUUGGACCAGCUGUCCAAGUAGGUACAACAUAGAACUGGUAAGUUUUUUACACAAGAUGAUAAAUUAUGCAGAAGGUGUGUGCCAGCUACUGUACUUUGCAUGUCCAGGGAACUGCUCCCUCGUAGUUUAGUUGCUGAUCAUCAAAACUAUAUAUAUAAAUUUUCCCCUUUUUGAUGAUAAAAAUGAAACCUUAGAAUUUGAGCAUUAGUGCAUAUUCAUCACAUUUAAUCAGAGUGAUUACCACCUGAAGAUAAAUGUUCCCCCCAUCAUCAUUCUUCCUCUAUCAUGCAACACAGGGACCUGGUCCUAUGAUGUCACUUUGUAGUAAUUCUCCCCUAUGAUUAUACACCUUUAUUUUAUUUGGUUCCUUUGCAUUUAGAUAUGUCCCUCUGUCAGUAUGACUCUCUUAAGGUCUUCAUCUCAAUUUUCCUGGUGCCUGGUCCCUACUACAUGAAUUCAAUAUUUCCCCCUUUUAGCAUUAUUGAAAAGUAUUAAUAGUAAGUCAAGAGUAAAGAUAAGCAUAGAUUAGUUAACUCAUAGCCAAUGAGGAAACACUAAUAUAUAGAAUAACUUUAAAGUAAGGAGACAAAUGAGAUACACAAACUAAAGAUUCAUUCACUCAUAAUAGUCAGUACCAGUAUAGUAGGCUAAGAUAACUAUCUUUAAAAGCCAUUAUGAGAACCGGGAUGUGGAACUGACACAAAGUUGAUAAGUAAACAAGGAUUACAGAGCUUGGGUGGGAGGAGUAUUGAGUAAAAGACUUAAGCAAUACUCCAUUCUUACAUCUAUAGUAACAUGUGUCUCUACAAACUGUUUGGUAAGGAUCCUUAGUUCAACAUUCAGUUUGACCAUUCUUGGCUGGAGUUUUGCAUUUCUAGAUGCAUGUUCAUCAGUGCCACCUAGUCCUUCAAAUGAUAACCUUUGAUUCAACAAUGUAAAAUACAUUUAGUCUAACAUCGUUGACAGCUGACUUGAUUCUUAACUCCUCCAUUUCUAUUCCCAACUUCUCCUAAAAAGCUACCAAUUCAAAUACCUAUUAUACAUUCUCCACAAGUUUUGUUAAAAUAAAUAUCAGCUUAGCUAUUCUAUGUGAUCUCCUUUCCCAUGUACCCCAAAGUGAUCAAAUACUUUAUUUAGGAUGUACCCGUAUGGCAUUUCAUAUCUCUCUUUCUUCUCACUUAUUUUGGGAUCAAGGGUUCUUUCUUGGGAGAACUUUCUGGGUCAUCAGCAUUUUAAUCCCCUUUUAACCACCCAUAUUCUUCAUCUUAUCCUUUAGUCUUAUUCUUUCCUUUUGUUCUUUUAAUAGAAACUUUUUCUUCCUGGGACCAGGUCCCUUCGAAGUUUUCUUCCUUCUCUUAUCUUAUGUAAUUCUACCUCAUUCCAGCAGGGUUACCAGACUUUGACAUAGAGAAAUUGAUUUCGCCCAAAACUAUACUCCAAUUAGAAGUAUAAUAUGGUCAAUUGCAAAUAUAAUAACCCAACAAGGUUGGGGUCGAUCCCAUAGGGAAAACAUGAAUAGUUUCUUGACUUGAUGUAAUCCUUGAGUAAUAUAGGAAAGGAAAUGGGGGAUUGUAGUAUCAAUCGCAAGUAGCAACCAAAUCUUGAGUGCUUUUGAGUUGUAGACAGUAUGAGAUAAACAAUAGGAUUAUGUUCCCUAUGGAUUUUCAACUCCAAAAAUUUCUCGUGAUCAACCCAACUGUUCUGUUGUUCUGCAUACAAAGUAUACAAGAAAGGUAUUAUUAGCUGCCUGGUGAGCAUGAGGAUAAUUUUCACCCUUUACUGGGUAAGUCACAGAGUGUCUCCUUGUUGCUUCUUGCUAUGACCUCAGUUCACUAUCAUGGGGUAGGAUUAAGUGAUUAGAUGCUGUGGCGGGAAUGAAUAUGUAGAGGUGAAUCCAACAUCACUUUUCUAAUCAUAAGAUCUCUUGUAGGGAUGGAUGUGAAUACAGGCUAUCUCAAGUUACUCAAGAUACUUGAGAUUAAUUAUUGUGAAGAAGAUUAAGAUACAUGUAGAAACCCUAGAAAAAAUGAGUUCACACUUCCUCUACGUAGCUAAUCUACAGGGUUCCCACAACCCUAGACAAGGAGAUUAGUCGCUCAUGUUUGUGCAGGAAACCAUAUUAUCAAUGAAGAAUACAUAAAAUCAAUUGCUAAAGAAUAAGAUGAUUAAACUCCAAAGUCCUUAAUUGAAUAAAACCUAAAAUCUCAAGAACAAUUGUAAAAGUAUUGUAUUAAUAUGUAAAAGAGUGUAAACUAAUAAAAUAUAAACCCUAGGGUAUUUGUAGUAUCUCAAAUAACAUUAAAAUCCUAAUAAAAAUGGGAAAGGUAAAGUUAAGUAGACAGUCAGUACGACUUGGUCUUCACUCGUAUAAGAAUGAUAUGAGUCGCACCUUGCCUUCUCAUAUCCAUUCCACUGUCUGGUCUCCCGAAGCUUCAACUUUUUAUUCAGUAUACGACUUUCUCUUAUGAGUUGUACCUAAGUUUACAACUCGUGUCGUUCACUUGCAUCCACUUGGGACUUUGUCUUUCCAAGCUUUGAACACUAGUUUGCAUACGACAUCCCUAUACGAGUCAUACUCAAACUUCCAACUCGUAUACUUUUGACACUUUAAUUCUUGAGUAGCUUAGGUUCUGUUAUUCUUAUGAAUUCUUCGUAUGACUUGUAUCCAAUCUUAUGACUUGGAUACUUGAGUCGUAUCUUCCCCAUACUUGGAUCUACAGGUUGACUUUUGGUUUUGUUGUCAGUACGAUUCAACAUACGAGUUGUAUCGGAUGGUUAUGAUUCAAGAGCUGACUCAUAUACUGCCCAAAGUUGGUCUUUUUAUUCUCUUUUCAUUCAAACACUAUUGUGGACCUGUUUUACCUAUAAUUCACACGAAAUUUCAUCAUAUCCAACAAAAUAUCCUGAGUUCAUACAUAAAUUCAUGGUUUUAAACAUUGAAAGUGUUGUGUUUCAAUGUCACACCAACACCCUCAACAUAGACUUUUACAUGUCCACAGGUAAAUAAAACCAAAUAACUAUUUUCUAGCACAGAGACGAUGCUUAAAUAAGAAGUUCUUUAGAAAGCCAUUGUAGUAAUUUUGAACUUAAUUUCAAUCUUGUUGUUCCGCCCUUUACUUCUAACUUUCAAAACUCAGUUUUAUGUAACAAUUUAGAACACAUACAAACAUGAAGGAAUCUGAUGAUGACAUUAUAUUUAUAAUAGACAGUUGGACAUCGAUAUAGAUUGUAUUUAUUAAACAAUCUAUCAACCUAGAAACAUGGCCCAUGUGUGCUCACGGUCAAAGAAAUCCCAUUCACUCUUCACUUUGAUAAAUUAAUCUAUUAAGGGAUAUACAAAUGACUCUGUUACUCAAAUCAAAGUAUCACCUAUAUAUAUAGAAUACCAUAGGCUUUCCCUUAUGCUUUUUUCCAACAUUUUCAAAAUGUCAUGGUAAGAUCACUAUAGGACUUUAUUUAUCUUGUAACGUAGGUUUUGGGUUGGUAUGAUAUCUUUUGGGAUUCAUUUUGUGACUACGUCUCCUGGACGUUAUGCCUUUCUUCGGGUCCACUCACUUUUCACUUUGUUUAUUUCUGCCCCUAUGUUUCCCUUUAUUCUUUUAAGAAGAUUCUAAUUGGUCAGGUGUAGUUUUCUAGAACUUAUUUUUCUUAUACUUUUUCUUUUGAUUUUUAUUACAACUUUUCUUUCUUUUCUUUUUACCAUACCUUUCUAGAUUUCAACUAUUUUUAUUCUACCCAUUUUCUUCAUACUCGGUUUCCUUUUAUGCACUUCUAUAAUAUCCACCCUCUAAUUAAGCGAUUUGCUUGAGUUAAAGUGUACAGUGUCCACAGGAGAAUCAGGGCCAAAACAGGUUCAUUGUAUGUUAUACAGGAAGGUGAUAGGUGUAACAAGAAAAAUUUGUCUAUGAAGGCUCAGCUUUAUGGAUCAAAGGGAUUUAUUCAUUUGGUUAGGGAAUUUUAGGCUCAACUGCACUCAUACCAAAAUGGCCUAUAAUUAUGUUCUACUUAAAUAUCCUAGACCUAGGUAAAUGCAACCGAACAAGUUCUAGAUUCUAACACAGUGGGAACUCAGUAUAUCUCAUACACACUUGCACAGGGCCAUAUUACUCAGUACUAGUUAUCCAACUAUGCAACUAUUUUGUCCUUCACUAUUUUAUCCCUAAUACUAAUGCCAUUUUCAUAUUCACAAUAGUUUCACACAAGUAUACCAAUCACACAAUUAUUUAAAUAAAAUUUUUCGAAGGGGGCUCAACUUUUUCAAUUUAAACACAACUUUUCACAAUAGCAUUUCAAAUCAGCAGUGGUUCAACGAUAAAAAAUUAAAAAUCAAAAUAGAUUCUUUCAGUACAACUGAAAUUUUUAAAAAUAAUCCAAAAUCAUAAUAAAAACUAAAAUGUUUCCAUAGGCGUACUAAUCUACUCCCUAUCUCAACUGCUUGUAUCGAAACUGCAAGUUAUAACAAACUAUUAGUUUUAGCUACAUCUUUCUUUUUAGAUAAUCCUAAAUUUUUUGAAAUAACCCCCACCCCAAAUAAACAUUGUUGAACUAUCCCCAAUGCUACCAAAAUUAAAAUAGAGUAAGGAUAAAGGUCAUACCUAGGUGCUCAAGGCAUCGGCUCAACAAUAUCAGCACAUAGGCCCAUAAAUAGGGUCCCACUCUCAUUAGCUAUUGUCCCAUCAACCAAAACUAAAACAUCAAUAGUCAGGGUCAUAGUACUUUCCCCCCAUCAUCAACAACAGCUGGUUUCAAACCACCAACUCCAGCGGCCAUCUUAUGAACCCGCAUCUACCGAUCCAACUCAUCCUGAAUACUCUCCUAUCAGGCUUUUUUCCUGAUUGCUCGAUUUUGUUCUUUUUUUUCGUCCUCUCUCAUAUUUGUUCUUCAAUCUUCUCAACCAGUGUAUUAUCUAAGUCUAUCCGAAUAUUUGGCACAUGGCAGUAGGAGUCAUUAUCUCUACAAUGGGCUCAGCAACCAUUGGUCUCUCAUAAAGCUCCGAGACCAUUUUCUUGAUUUCUGCAAUUUCUUAUCUGAUAUCAUAUGCCCUUCACUCAACUGUCGAGUGAUCCUCAACUCAAAAGAACCCAGGCGCCCUUGGAAUACUUUUCAUUUUUUCACUCCUCUUCUAUGUGACAUACCUUUGCAUCAAGUGCAGCUAAUUUAGUCACCACCCUAAUCCAUGCAUCUUGGGAAAUCAUCAUAAUACCUAGAGGUAUACCCUAUGGCCUAGGUGGCACAAACUGGAUUUAUGAUGGGACACUAAAAGUACAUGUUGCAUCUAUAUAUGUACCCUCUGUCUGUGACUCUACCUCAGUAGUUAAAACUAUAGCAGGGAUGUCAGUCUGAUCCUCUUGAGGGAAAAAUCCCACCAUAAUAUCUGUUGCAUAUCUCAUUGGUCAGGACAAAGGGUUAGCUGCGCUCUAAUCAGGCUAAUGUCAGACGUCCUCCUGGCCUCAAUCAUCUUAUUUACUCUAGUGAGCUCUAACACUCCCGCAGCCAUACAAAUCUGUGUAAUCAUGCAGGGGUAGGCCAAUAAUGACUUUUGACCCCCAACUGCCCUAUCCCUCAAAUCUCGGGAUAAGAACUCACCAAUAUUAAACUCCUAACCGACUGUGAAGUCGGUUAUCAUAUUAUCUGGACCGGGGUUAGAACAUCAUCACCUAUCGUGGGAUACAGUCGAUAUCGGGCUAUUGUCCACUAAUCCUUACCCUCAAAGUUGAGGUUACUCUUAUUUAUCUGCUAUGAGAAUACGCCAAGGCCUCCUACAACCUAUACUAUGUUCACACCAUUGUAAGUUAUUCGCUCUGCAAUCCAUCAUAAUAUCACCAUCUACUCCUCAAAACCCAGCAUUCACCGAGGUAUCUUUCUUAUAUAUACCAUCCUAUAAUCCAUUUCUGCUGUGUUGGACAGAGCCUGAUAUUUUGGCCCAUACAAGAAUCUCCCAAUGGUUCAGGAAGAAAUAUCAACCCGAACUCCACGAAUCAUAAGGGAGUAAUAGAAUUGCCUCUCUUAUACAACUGACCCUGUAGAUAUUGCCUCUGUAUCUCACCUUUGUAUACUACAUAAAACUCACGAACAAGAACUUCAGUGCAUAUUUCGGGUUCUUGAGUCAUCCAUUCAAACCCAUACUGAUGGAAGUGAUCUUUAAAACUUGGUAACUCAAACAUCCCGGUAGUAGUCAAUCUCUGCUAUAGAUAAAGUACCCUUUUUAUUUUGCUGUCCAGAAGUCUAAAUAACCCAUUGUUGAAUUUCUCCUAUAUGUUAGGGUACCCCUAUCGUUUAAUGAUGGGCACCGGUGCAGUGGUCAGUGCAAGUGGGGGUCUUGUCUAGCAAUGGGGUUAGAAUCUAACUCUUCAGAACUUGGGCCUCUUCAGAACUAGCCUCUGCUAAUCUAGAUUGAACCUCAUCAUCAUCUUCAUUAGUAGGUUGUGGUGAGCGGGGAGGCGAUAUAGUAGGAUUUUUCCUUCUCGGCCCCUUUGGGUUGAUUCUGAGUUUUGUGGAGCUACCUUCUUCCCCUUGGCUUUUGCAGCUGCCUUCCCCUUAUAUGCAGCUUGCUUUUUUAGAGGUUCCAUCAUAAACUUCCCCGCUUCUUUUAAUAAAGUCUCAUACUCUAAAUCACUAGAUUCUAUACUUGCAACAGAUAUUUAUUUGUUUACCUUCUUAGAAUUUUCUUGGAUGAGGAAGCAUUCUUUGGAGGCAUCGUUCCUAAAAAUACACCAUUAUUAGUAACUAAGUAAAGAAAAAAAGAAAAAUUUAUAACGAAAGUUCAAUGUGCUUGGUUUGAUUCGGGUACAAAUGGUGGGUACGAGUUGUACCAACUAGGUACAACUCGUAUAGUCAAGUUGUAUUGUGUUCAGUACAUGACCUUUGUUCAUUGGUCGGCUUACGACUCCUCCAAACUAGUUGUACUAAAAGGCUACAACCUGUUACCAAUAGUUGUAAGUUGAUCAGAAUCAUUUAUUCUAACCUAUAUCUUCCCAGGUGGGUACGACUAAGUGUGUACGAGUCAUAUGUGUUAUGCCCCAUUUUAACACGACGUCAAAAUAGCAUAUAACAUAUUGUAAAAACCUCUCAUUAAAUUAAGUAAGUUGCCACAUAAUUAAUUCUAUAGUGAAUUAGGACACCUAUUAUAACUAUGCGAUUAAAGUGAAAGAAAGACUUCAUUUUAAGUUCCACUUAACCUAAGACUCUAGGUAAGGAAAGGAUGCUAAUUAUCCUAAAGGGAAGCGAUUAGGCACCCUAAAGAAUCCGCUAAUUACAAUUAACUGACCAAACUUAGGUUGAUUAAGAAAUUAAAUUUAUAUUAAGAGAAAUAUAAGUAAGGUAUUGAAAAUACAUUAACAUGAUAAUUGUUUAUAAGAAAAGUUUAGAAAACUUUAAAGGGACCUCUUCAUCACUCUACUUUUCAAAAUUAUCGAAGAUAACUCUUAUAGGUCCUCUUAAAAAUAAUGCAACCUUAUUGAUGUAAAAAAGAUAGUUAUUUUAAAAUCAUUUCUUUUAAAAGAUAAAAAAUUUAAUUAUGUUAAAAAAAAAUUUCACAUUCUUUCUUUAUUCUAAAAAUAUGACUCUUUCAUCCUUUUUAAUCAAAUUUUGUAAAAAUAGGUUAAUUUUUCUACACUAAAUGAAUUGCUAUAAAAAUAUAGUUGUUUAAAUCUACAAUAAUUUGAGAAUUUACUAUUUAUCAUGAUACGGCUAAAAUAAAUAAAUAAAUAAAAUAUUCUCUUGUCAUUUGAAAUUCCCCCAAAAAGGGUCUUGGGAGGUUGGUUUGGCAAAGUUGCCCUAUUAUAUUUUAAAUUAAUGAAAAGUAAGGUUGAUUUGCCAUAUCUAAAAUUAUUAAAGCCGGUUUUCAAGUCUAGCGACAAUAAACUUGUCUACCGCAAAAUUUAUAUUUAUCAAUGCCAUAUUACUAAUUGAUACCGAACUAACUUGAAACUAAAGGAAUUUUUUUUUUCUAAUAGCUAAGUCACUAAACACUAAAAGAUGUAUUUCUUAACUAUCAAAUUUUAACCUUCAACUUUACAAAUUAUAUAUUGAAGCCUAGUGAUCAAUUCAAUAAAAAGGGUAGGGAGAGAAACAAUUAAAUUUGUGAAUCUUAUUUAAAUAACUUAUACUAAUUCAAAUACGAGCCAACAAAGCACAAAUUUAAAACAACAAUGUGCAACGUGUAAAGAAAGAUAAUAACCGUAUGUAUAAGAGUAAAACUUGGAGGGAAGAAAGAGGCACUAGACUGCUAGCGGUAUUGACUUAAAGUAUGGAACAUAACUCCUCCCUCGGAUAAGAGAUAGUGUUAUUCUCAUUCUAAGACUCCAUGUGGGUACAAGGGUCUAGCCUUAAGACCCCAAGUUUGUUUUCUCCCAAUGUGUAAGUGCGGAUAAAGAGAAGGUAAUCGAAUUAGUAAGACAAUUCAACUUACAUAGAAUAAAAUAAAGUUGCAUAACGAAUAUAUUAGCUAAAUCCUAACACAUGUAUUUUAUGCACAAGCUAAGCUUCAGGUCCAUCAUACUUAAGCUACAAUGAGUUCACUCCAAAAAUAUACUAGAUUGCAUGUGAUCUAUGCAUUUAAAAAGAAUAAUUCGCACACAUACUCUAGCAAAUGAAAUGGGUACAGUGACCAAAAAUCCAUAUAAGCCAAGAACAUGAAGUGAAAUACACUUGGGUUCAUUUCCUAUGAAAGAAAAUAAAUAUAGAUGGUUUGCAUUACAUUUCUAAGUAAGUGGAAUAGCAAACAUCUAAAACGUUCCUACAUAGAAAGGCAUGAGUUCAAAAUUUCUUAUCCGAGAAGGAACAAUAAACGCGUAAAGGGAGUAAUGAAAUUAGUAAAGCAAUUCAAUUCAUAGAACCAAGUAAAAUCACAAAACCAACAUAGUAUUCAAAAGAUGAUAUGAACAAAUGCCAAAUUAGAUAACUUUUGGUCAACCUAAAGUAGCUAAGUCAUUCAUGUUUAAGCUACAACAAGACUACUAGUUUAAAGUAUGUAUGUAAUUUAACCUUAUCCCCUUAUACAUUUUAUAAGUUAAACAAAAAAAGAAAAUUUCAAUACGCAUUUUAACCAGAAGAAAGGGAACAACUAGUUUAUAUCCUAUUUCAAACUAAGUCUAAUUUUCCACAAAUAGACUUACCCUUAAAAAACAUGAACUAUAUGAAAGCUUUUACCAUACAGAGAUAUCAAGCAACAUAAACACAAAACAAAAUUGAUUUCAAAUGGGUGUUUAAUAAUGAAAACAGAACCAUUCCUUAAAUCGUGAUGGCUAAGAUGUGAAAGGUGCAUGACUUCAAAUCUCUAUGAACUUUGGACGAAAUAGAACUACAUGUUUUAAGAUCACAAAAUAUUAUGAUUAAACCAAGUAAAAUAUAUAUAUAUAUAUUUUGCAAAAACAGAACACCCAUGACAUUUUAUUCACAAUGAUGAAAUAAGGGAAUAGGAGGCGAACAUACCUAUUGCGUCGAAGUGAACAUGGGUGCUUUGUCACCGGUCUAGACUUGAUAUUAAAUAACAACGAACUCAGAGAAUACUCAAAAGCUAGUCUCUAUUGAGAGGGAACCAAACAUGUGAAACAAAAGCUGAGAAAUAAAAUAGUUUUUUAGCAAAGAAGGAGAAAUAAUGAUUUCAAGAGUUGUGGGAGCAGUGGCUCCCAACCCCUCCACCCCACCCCCCCAGAAUAGACUCCAAACAAAAGUAUUUAUAUAGAAAAACUAGGCUUCUCUUUCUUGAGCAGGCUUGGUCAUUCAAUUUGAACACAACAUUGGAUCUUGGAUCUAUUCAAAUUUUCACGUGAUUUUUAUUGCCAUGACACAAGAAUGGAGAAGCAAACUUUACCCAUGGUGAAAGGGGUCUAUAUUUUUUCUUGAAUAGGAAAAGAAGACGUUGAUGUCUAUUUGGGAAGAGAAACCAUGUAUUCAAUAAGAGAAAGAGAAGAUUCAGGCCUAAUUCUAUGGUUUUGAGAGUAUUAAGGGUAUUUUAAUUAGGUAUGUGAGGGUAUAAGAGAUAGUUUAGAGUGAUUGAAA
rnacentral:lncRNA from 1 species